GACGAACGCUGGCGGCGUGCUUAACACAUGCAAGUCGAACGGAAAGGCCCUGCUUUUGUGGGGUGCUCGAGUGGCGAACGGGUGAGUAACACGUGAGUAACCUGCCCUUGACUUUGGGAUAACUUCAGGAAACUGGGGCUAAUACCGGAUAGGAGCUCCUGCUGCAUGGUGGGGGUUGGAAAGUUUCGGCGGUUGGGGAUGGACUCGCGGCUUAUCAGCUUGUUGGUGGGGUAGUGGCUUACCAAGGCGUUGACGGGUAGCCGGCCUGAGAGGGUGACCGGCCACAUUGGGACUGAGAUACGGCCCAGACUCCUACGGGAGGCAGCAGUGGGGAACAUUGCACAAUGGGCGGAAGCCUGAUGCAGCAACGCCGCGUGCGGGAUGACGGCCUUCGGGUUGUAAACCGCUUUCGCCUGUGACGAAGCGUGAGUGACGGUAAUGGGUAAAGAAGCACCGGCUAACUACGUG
rnacentral:rRNA from 1 species